rnacentral:rRNA from 1 species
CUGCCCCAAUGACCGGGACAACCCGAGGAAACUCGGGCUAAUACCGGAUGUGGUCUUCGGACGAAAGGAAGCUUCGGCCUCCGCAUUGGGAUGGGCCCGCGGCGCAUUAGCUUGUUGGUGGGGUAACGGCCUACCAAGGCGACGAUGCGUAGCUGGUCUGAGAGGACGAUCAGCCACACUGGGACUGAGACACGGCCCAGACUCCUACGGGAGGCAGCAGUGGGGAAUCUUGCGCAAUGCGCGAAAGCGUGACGCAGCAACGCCGCGUGGGGGAAGAAGGCCUUCGGGUUGUAAACCUCUUUCAGUUGGGACGAAGCUUCGCGAGUUAAUAGCUCGUUGGAGUGACGGUACCUUUAGAAGAAGCCCCGGCUAACUACGUGCCAGCAG